rnacentral:lncRNA from 1 species
UUGAUCCAAAUCUCAUUAAAUCAUACUAAUGUACUACUCAACAGUUAUAUUUUCCCAAAAAGUGAUCAAACAUUACUUAUCCAUUAAUCCCCAAAUCUUAAUCAAUUAAGUCCGCAUAUAACAACUAUACACAGCCCAAUAAUUCUCAAAUUUAAUCAUUAGCCCACCUGAAAAUCCAAGACCCACUACAAGUUCAACAAAAUCAUAGUAUACAAGCCAAGAAGUACUAGCAAAACAGAGGAGGGGGGUAGGCGGCGCUGGCUGCACUGCCGAGCAGAGCAGCGACAAGGGCGAGAGGUGGCGGCGCUGGCUGCGCUGCCGAGUAGAGCAGCGACAAGAACGAGAGGCAGAGCAGCGACAAGGGCGAGAGGCAGAGCAGCGACAAGGGCGAGAGGCGGCGGCGCUGGCUGCGCUGCCGAGCAGAGCAGCGACGAGGGCGAGAGGCGGCGGCGUUAGCUGCGCUGCCGAGCUUCUAUGCUGGAUUCCGAUAGGAGGAAUCUUCUUUAUUGACGAGCAGGUCCUUAUUCCUCCAUGUGGAGUUUCUUCACAGAGUUAAGUCUACUAAUGAGCUGAUGAGCUUCCUGUGCUCAAAAUAAGAGCGACCAAGGUAGCGCAGCUGAAAUGCUUCUCUGAACCCGGCUUCGAUGGAUCCCCAGAAAAGAAGGCCGAUUGGGAGGUUGAACUUAGACGCCUUCACCGGUGAUGGUGAUCGAUUGAGCCCUAAUUAAGACAAUCGAAACACAAGAUUAACCCAGACUUGCACAAAACUGCAGAGAAAAACAUAUAAAUUAAGAAGAAUGAGGGGUUAUUGUUAGUUGAAUUGGUGACUUAAUGACCGCGCCGGUUAGGCGGGCUGCCUAACUGAGUCGCGUCUCCGAGAGAGAGAACACCGUGAAUGCCCAUGAGCCAUGAGUCGCAGUGGUUGGCCUCGGCCGGGUGAAACUUGGAAUUGAAGGAGACCUGAUCUGCGCUUGUGUGAGAGAGAGAGAGAGAGAGCGAUAACAGAAAGAGGACUAGAUCCGAUCUGGAACCAAGCCCCAUUUCUGAGAGAAGGAGGCCGGACCCAUGUCGAAAAUCUGAGGUAGCAAUUGCUACCUGAAGUUGCUCGCCGAGAAAGCGGCUCUGUUGUCGGGAAUUUUCAGCAGGGUGCUGUGAAAUAGGCCUUGAACUCAGAAACCCCAUCUUUCCCAUUUUUUCUUUCUUCUCGGCGUGGUGAAUUUUUGCCGAAUCUUGGAGCCGCGGCGGCGAACUUAUGGGUGAGAGACCGGACGAUAGAGAGAGAUAAUACUGAUAAUACCGGUGAGAGAGCAGACUUUUGGAUUUUGCGUGAUUUUUCCAAAUUGGGGAAGAACCCACAUGAUAACCCCAUUUUUUCUUUUCUCGAUGAACAGUAACCAUCGAUGAACAGUACUCUGAUUCCCCAAUUUCCCAAAAUAUUUCGAUGAACAGUAAUCUGGCUUCAAUGAACAGUACCCCGGAAAAAUGAUGAAUCUCACGCCUUAGCUUAGAUUUCCCACAGACGGCGCCAGUUGGUGAAACGAGAAAUAAUAUGGUAAAUAAAAGCAGUAAAUGACACCGGAUUUACGUGGUUCGAUCGAGAAGACCUACGUCCACGGGGGUUUUGGAGGUUUUCCACUAUAAUUGAGAG